UACAAGGAAUAUAAAUGAAAAUAAAUGAAUAUAAUGUACUCACAUACACUAAAAACGUAAAUAAAACGAGUGUAUAAAUAAUAGUCCCAAUACUUGGUAGACUUCUUAUAGGUUCCAAUAGGUAUGUGGAGACUUUGAUGGAUAAUAUAUCCAAUAGGAAACUGGGUCCUCUAGUCUUGGAGAAAUCUUGACUCGGUGAUGAACAUAGAAAUAAGCAAACAGAGACAAUCCAAUAGUGCAGACUGUAUACUGAUAAGUAGAAAUUGGAUAGAAAAUAGGGAGGUAAUUCACUCACCUAUUCAAGAGCAUAAACUAGCUCAAGUAUAAUUGGCAUUCAGUGGCGUCUGUCCCCCACUUGUGGGAUAUGGGUGAUGAUAAUUCCUCGGUAUGGAAAAGAGAUAAGAGCCAAAUAUAGUGCUCACUGUAUGUAUGAUUAAGAUAAAUUUAAAAUGAAGAAAUAAAAGUACUCACAUUUGGAUGAGCAGGAUAUACUGCUCAAUAUAAUCACGUAGGUGGUACUAUCCCCACCUAGGAUUCUUGGGCAGGUGUAGACUCCAAGGUAAUAUAUGACCAGGUGAAAAGAAAAAUAUAAAAUAUGAAAUAAAAGGUAUAUGGCAAAUGUAUAGUAAAAAAGCCAAUAUUCCUUUA